rnacentral:rRNA from 1 species
UACGUAGGGUGCUAGCGUUGUCCGGAUUUAUUGGGCGUAAAGGGCUCGUAGGCGGCGUGUCGCGUCGGGGAGUGAAAGCCCGCUGCUUAACGGCGGGUUGGCUUCCGGUACGGGCAUCGCUGGAGUGCGGCAGGGGAGACUGGAAUUCCUGGUGUAGCGGUGAAAUGCGCAGAUAUCAGGAGGAACACCGGUGGCGAAGGCGGGUCUCUGGGCCGAUACUGACGCUGGAGGAGCGAAAGCCGUGGGGAGCGAACAGG